rnacentral:lncRNA from 1 species
CGGAAUAGCCGGCACCCGCUUUUUCUGCCUCUCUCUCUCUCGCUUGUGACCUUCCGGCGCCAUUUACCGGACAGGUGGCUGUGGAGGACCUUCCCCGCCCACGCUGCACUCCGUCACUCAGAGCGCGCGCCGCGACCCAGGAACUAAUCGGCAGCUGCCUUAGGCGACCAUGUCGGAGUCUGGGCACAGUCAGCCUGGGCUCUACGGGAUAGAGCGGCGGCGGAGGUGGAAAGAGCCAGGCUCCAGUGGCCCCCAGAAUCUUUCUGGGCCUGGCGGUCGGGAAAGAGACUACAUUGCCCCCUGGGAAAGAGAGAGACGGGAUGGCAGCGAAGACCCCAGCACCAACGUCAUGCAGAAAACCCCCAUCAUCCUCUCAAAGCCUCCAGCUGAGCGGUCAAAGCAGCCACC